UUUGCCUACGGGGCGCAGCAGUGGGGAAUUUUGCGCAAUGGGGGGAACCCUGACGCAGCAACGCCGCGUGCGGGACGAGGGCCCUCGGGUUGUAAACCGCUUUCAGCAGGGAAGAUCCAAGACGGUACCUGCAGAAGAAGCUCCGGCUAACUACGUGACAGCAGCCGCGGUAAUACGUAGGGGGCGAGCGUUAUCCGGAUUCAUUGGGCGUAAAGCGCGCUUAGGCGGCCGCCUAAGCGGGACCUCUAACCCCGGGGCUCAACCC
rnacentral:rRNA from 1 species